rnacentral:rRNA from 1 species
AAUGAACGCUGGCGGUAGGCCUAACACAUGCAAGUCGAACGGCACCACAGUAAGGCCUUGCUCUGACGGGUGGCGAGUGGCGGACUGGUUAGUAAUACAGCGGAAUCUACUUUUUCGGGGGGGAUAACGUAGUGAGACUUACGCUAAUAUCGCAUACGACCGACAGGUGAAAGCAGGUGAGCUUCGGACCUUGCUCGGUUGAAUGAGCCGAUGUGGGAUUAUCUAGUGGUCGGGGUAAAGGCCCACCAAGGCGACUAGCCGUAGCGCGUCUGAGAGGAUGAUCAGCCACCUUGGCACUGAGAAAGGGUACAGACUCCUACGGGAGGAAGCAGUGGGGAAUAUUGGACAAUGGGGGAAAGCGUGAUACAGCAAUACCGCGUGGAUGCAGAAGGAGUCAGGGUGGUAAAGCCAUUUUGUUGGGAAAGAAAAGAAGCAGGUUAAUCCCGCGCUGUUCUGACGGUACCGAAAGAAUAAGCCCCGGCUAACUUCGUG